UAACGCGUGGGCAACCUGCCCCNUACAGGGGGAUAACAGCCGGAAACGGCUGCUAAAACCGCAUAAGCGCACAAGGGCCGCAUGGCCUGGUGUGAAAAACUCCGGUGGUAUGGGAUGGGCCCGCGUCUGAUUAGCUAGUUGGCGGGGGAGAGGCCCACCAAGGCGACGAUCAGUAGCCGACCUGAGAGGGUGGCCGGCCACAUUGGGACUGAGACACGGCCCAAACUCCUACGGGAGGCAGCAGUGGGGAAUAUUGCACAAUGGGGGAAACCCUGAUGCAGCGACGCCGCGUGAGCGAAGAAGUAUUUCGGUAUGUAAAGCUCUAUCAGCAGGGAAGAAAAAUGACGGUACCUGAGUAAGAAGCACCGGCUAAAUACGUGCCAGCAGCCGCGGUAAUACGUAUGGUGCAAGCGUUAUCCGGAUUUACUGGGUGUAAAGGGAGCGCAGGCGGUGCGGCAAGUCUGAUGUGAAAGCCCGGGGCUCAACCCCGGGACUGCAUUGGAAACUACCGAACUAGAGUGUCGGAGAGGUAAGUGGAAUUCCUAGUGUAGCGGUGAAAUGCGUAGAUAUUAGGAGGAACACCAGUGGCGAAGGCGGCUUACUGGACGAUAACUGACGCUGAGGCUCGAAAGCGUGGGGAGCAAACAGGAUUAGAUACCCUGGUAGU
rnacentral:rRNA from 1 species